ACCAAGGGGGGAAGGAGCCCCGUUAGAAAAGAGGCCUGGUCACUGUUCUGGCUGCUCCAGCACCUGGACCGUUUUCUUUGACGACGAUGCGCCAUCCAGGCCUCCCCUGAAUCAGAGGCUCCUGCUCUCCUCCGUGACUGACCCGCUGGUCUUCUUGCCACGCCCAUCCACAGCUACAAAAAUGAGAAUUACAACCCAUUCAAGAUUGGGGGGUGAAAGGAAAAAGAAACCAAAAAGGAGGAGUGGAUCCAUUCUUUUCAACUUGAAGGGAACUGAGUUACCAAGUUGAACACUCAAUUCCUCCUUAGAACCCUGGAGCAGAGAGAGAUCAUGUGGACCGAGGCCGAGGUGAGCCACCCGACGGAGCAGAAAUGACUCUCAGCUGAGGCUGCCAGACGCCAAGGGAAGGCCCCUAGGUCGGCAAGCCCAGCUGAGCACCGACAAUGGAGAGAGUCCGGCAGCAAUCUCCCGAGCUGGCCCAGACGAGCACCAGCACCCGCUUGACCCACAGAGCUGUGACCUAUAUGCGACAGUUGUUUUUUAACUCACCAAGUUUGGGGGCGGUUUGUUAUGUAACAGAAGCUAAGCUGAUAGCGAGCUUCUCCUCUAAGCCUCAGUCGGGGAACCCAGCUGUCUGCAGGCCUGCCGACUCCUGAGGGCGCUGCCACUGACCUUCUGUCAUGUCUGGCGUCCGGCUGUAGCCCUCGGGUAACGUCACCCCGAAAUAAAAAUAAUAGGAAUAUAACAGGAAAGAAAGGAGUCAGCGCCUGAUGGCUCUGUGUGUGUGAGAGCGGGAGUCGGGAGGGUGGGGGCGGAAAGAGCAAUCAGAGGGCAAAAGGAGGCGAGACAGGAGCAUCCAACUCCAGGCACUGACCUGAGACGGCACGUCCCACUGAACGCAGAAGCAGCCUCCCUCCCCUCCGCCCCCGGGGUCCCUUCUGCCGGCGGCAAACAGAAGCGGUAAGAGCAGCGACCACAGGCAAGUGUUCUGGCUAAUUUUCAGGUCAGGCUGGGGGCCAGGGAAGAAGGGAUGGAAGGAAUCACAAGAUGCAUCUUGCAGAAGUACAUCCCCAAUCCUUGUCAGCUCUGCUAUCGUCGUCGUAAGUAAUUCCACGCAGAGAGGAAAAAUAAAGGCUUGAGCAUAAGGUUUCUAUCUGUGCUGCACAGAAGCUGAUUAAAAAUGCUAACUACCAUGAUUGUCCAACCACCAGACGCUCCCCAGAGACCCAUGCUCACAGAUGGUGAUUAGUUUGGGAUGGCCAGAACAUUCACCAGUACCAUGUUGCCGUAACACCCACAGACUAUCUGUCACACUCCCAGGAGGCCGUUAAAGGCUGUUUACUUCAUACAGUUAACUUGAACCAUAAGCUUCACAAGCCUCUUUGAUGCAAUUUUAAUCACUCUCCUCAUAAACCCGUAACACUCCCCGGCACGGAUAUGCAUUUGCACACAGCACAACGCACAACUCCCCUCGGAAUUCUCCAGCUCGCGCCACCCCUCCCCCCCGCCCCCCCAAGUGGAUGCCGCCUCGCUGCAGAUACCGUCUCGGGUCUCCCCUGAUUCACACACUCGCAUUAGUGCUUCCCAGCGUGGUAAUAUAUCACGGCUCCCGGUGGAAAUUGGGUGAUAAAAGAUCAAUACCAGGACCUUGUAACAAAUGUUCCGACAGUGAAACUGCAAGCCACUGUUUAUCUUUUGCAGAACAUAUUUUUUCCCCCAAGCAAAUUCUAAUUUUCUAGACUGACCUCAGCUAUCCUCUCUGAUAUUUAUUUAUUUGGAAAGCAAAACCAAGUGAGGGCCUGGAUACCGCUCCCGAGGAAGAUACAGAGCCCGGUUUCCCCACUGCCCCUCGGGAGCUCUGGUCGCCGGCGCGCCGCCCCAGGAGAACUCCACUGUCCCCUCUCCACGUUCUGCCAUUUCACCAGGGCGCGUCCUGCACUCGGCAGGCUGGCAGCGUGUUCCCGCUGGCAGGGCUGCGGGCAGUGAAGCGGUGACAUUUGGUGGAUACGCCGGCCGCAAGAAGGGCAGCCUGCGAUGAAAGGAGGAGCCCUUUCAAGGGAUUUUACGUGAAUUCUGUAAAGACGGCACUGAAGAUAGGCUGCAGAGCACUUCCGUUUUGCAGCGCUGGCAUUUUCUAGACUUUCCCAUCCGACGGUCUGCGGGUGACAUUCCUCCUUCACCAGCUAAACGGUGCCCGGCAUUUCCGAGUGUGAAGAAACCUGCGGUGCCACCGGAGACGCUGAUCUUAAUGGAUUUCUGGAGAAGAAGAGACGGGAAAGAUGGAGACGGGCACAUGAGAACAGAGAGCGAAUCCCAGGAAUGACAGCUCAGCCUGCUUGGUACCAGUUCCAGGAGUGAUGUGAAAAUAUUCUGAAAAGCACGAUAAAUCAAAAGGGCAAGAAGCAUUUGGGAUCUCUGUCUUGGGAAGAAACAUCCCAUCGGCGCCAACAAACAUUUACCGCGUGCUGCUCGUAAGUAAAACGCAGGGCUGGGGUCUGAGGCUACCGGGUGGAGGGAUGGGUGAGACCACGCAGUGGCUGGUGAGGAUGUGGGGCGUGGGGCGGGGAAGCAGGAACUUCAAACACACAGAGAGCAGAAGCGCCAUAAGGCCUGAAGGGAACGGGACUCCAGGCCAGGGAGCAGAGGGGGGAGAGGGAAAGAGCUUUUUACGCGGGAUGGGAUGGUAGCAGGAUCCGGAUGUUUAUAGAAUCUGGCAGGAAGGGGGGUCUGGACGGACAGGCACCCCAGGGGACGGCACGAGGGGUGGUGAGCGCGGAGUGUGUUAGGCGGCCGUGGGCACACCUCUGGUGUGCAGGGCGGCCCCUUCGCGUGAGCUGGCUGUGCAAGGCGGUGAGGGGAUCCCCAGGAGAAAAGCUGGGGUCUGAGCGAUGUGAGUGGAAAGGAAGGUAUGUCAACAGGCAUUCUAAGGACAGACGUGGCAAAACCGGGUGACUCACCAGAUGCGGGAGAUGAGAGAAAGCAAGAGUGUGAUUUCUGAGACCAGACUCAGAGGAGCGGCUCUCCGGGUGGGGAGUGAUGCGAGACGCCUCCUACAUUGGCACUGCGGUGCGUGGGGGCCGUGGGCAGGAGCUAAUCCUCCUCUCCCCACCCUCCCCCCAGGAGAGGUGCCGGGAGUGAUGGCUGGGGCCACCUGUCCAGACGCUCCGUGCUCCCUCUGUGGUUGGCCUGAGGCUUGAAGUGUGGUAGUUCCCUCUCUUGUCCGCGGUUUCGCUUUCCAGGGCUUCAGUUACCCACGGUCGACAGCGGUCCCCAAGCAGACGCUCCUCCUGACCUGUCGCCAGAGCCAACGGUAGCCGAACGCGGGGCGCCUGGGUGGCUCAGGCCGUGAAGCGACUUGACUCUUAAUUUACACUCAGGCCACGAUCUCACGGUCAUGAGAGCAAGCUCUGCGUCAGGCUCACGCUCUUUCUCUCUCUCCCCAAACUAACAAACAAACAAACAAUAGUAGCCGAAUGCUACAUCACGACACCUACAUCGUUCACUUGGUCACACAGGCCUUUUAUCAUCUCACAUCAUCACAAGAAGAAGGGUAGUGCAGUACCAUAAGAUAUUUUGAGAGACAGUCCACAUUCACUAACUUUUUUACGGCAUAUUGUUAAAAUUACUCUAGCUCAUUGUUGUUAAUCCCUUACUGCGGCAACUUAACAAAUUAAACAUUAUCAUGGGUAUGGAUGUGUAGGAAAAAACGUAGCCUGUAUAGGGUUGGCACUAUCCAUGGGUGCAGGCACCUGCUGGGGGUCUGGAACGUACCGCCCCGUGGCUAAGCGGGGACGGCUGUCCUCAUUCUCUCGCUCGCAAGUUCUCUUUCAGGCCGCUACUUCUGCUCUGUGGAUUUCUACUCAAGUGUUCACCCUCCCCACAAAGCGGGCCUCUCUCCUCCACCGGGAAGACUUCUCGAUCCCUUUUCCAAUUUGUUUCAGUCUCACCAAAUCUCAGCAACGUCUCCGAGGUCAUAUUUAUCAUGCUAUGUUAAAAAAAAAAAUCACAACCAGUUCGGUUUUCCCAUGCUCUGAAACUUGUUUCGUCCCCCUCAAAAAAAUUUUUUUUUGUUAAUCUUGGGUAUCACUAGGCUUCACUUACACUGCGGUUUUUCUUUCUGUUCCAAACCCUUAAUCUCUCUGAUCCCUCAUGGUAACCAGUUUUGCAGUGCCUUUUUUUUUUUUUUUAAACACGUUUGCUAGCGUUUCUCCCCAACCCCUUCCUCCGCCUCCACUUCCAAGUCAUCUUGAGCAGAUCGGCUGGUAUCUGGGAGAAAAAAUACUCCAUUACCAUUUUCACGUUACAUAAUUCCUUCCUAGUUCUCUUCUGAAAUUUCUGAGGGCAUGCACGCAUUGGUUCAUUCGGUUCACUCCUUCCUUCCUUCGCCUUCGACGGGCUGCAUGCUACGUUACGUGGUGUGCCAAAGAGGACGCGCCCCUGGCCUGCUGGGCCUUACAGUCGUUUAGGGGAGGCGGCCUAAUACGUAAAGAUUACCCCUGUGCUAAGCGUACUGAGAAGGAAUGGUUAAGUAUGAGAAGGGACGGGAGAGGAGGAAAACCCUCAGGACGAGGUGUCUCAGGAGGGAGGCAAGGCCCCUUCCCCAGGGGUGAAGGCAGGCGCUACACAACUCUGCCAGGGAAGCUACAGAAGGAACUCCUUGAAGAAUCGGAAGCUGGGGAAAAGAAACCAGCAUCAGCUCCCUUUCCAUCUCUCAGCCCCUAAGAUUCUCUAAGCAGGACCAACGGAAGGGAGAUGAGAGGUGUAAUUUAUGGCAAUGCCACUGCCCUCAGGCCAGGUCACUCAUUAGAUCCUUCCCUGCCUCCAUUUCACUGACCAGCGGAUACAAACUUUUACCACUUUCUCUAUUUAAGACCUUACUGAGGCGUCCACACUGGGCUCUAAACUACAGGAGAAAGCCUCAAGGGGCAAGGAGUCUUGUAGACAACAUAUAUUGAGCAAUUCCUACUGAUGUUAAUCACUUAUUUGAGAGGAAGAAUAAAACACGUUAAAGGGACUUUGGGGGAUUACUCUUCCUAUAUUGAUAACUCAUUAACAUUUAAUGAACUGGAGUAGUGGCCAAGGCAACUCAAAGCUGUCUGGAAAGUCAAGAAACCGGCUUAGCUUUCAUACAACAAACUCAGAAAGUACUUCCCUGACGCUUCUUGGCUCUUCUGGGAGUCCUGGUCAACCUUUUCUCAUUUGUGAGGAAGAGACGACCUUUAGGUUAAAGCCAUUUCUUUUCGGCAGGGAGCUUAAUGCGUCUCAGAACUCUUCGACAAGUUAACAUCAGCACGGGCUCAACAUUUACCGGUGCUGACGAGGCCCCUGAAGGCCAGAAGGUCCAACAUUCGCUUUCAGUUUUUACUCUGAUCUCUCUCACACACACACCCUGACCUACCGCACGGUAGAGAUAGCGUUCUCCCAGGGGAAUGGACUCUGUAAGUGGGAGAGUCGUGGCUUCCCCAGGCCCCUGGAAAAUGUGAAGACGGUACUAGAUCAUCACCCUGGUUCCUUUCUGCUUUAUCAUUCUCUCUCCACCCAUCACCGUUCUCCCUUAUAGACCCUGACAUAAACUCGUGUCAAUAGAUAAAUGGUCUUGGCAUCUGUGGCUAGAGAGAAUGGCUCUGUAGUAACUACGGCAAACUAAAAUAGCAGACUUGCCUCCAAGUGUAACUGGCUUGUACACAUGCCUUCACUGGGCAGAAUAACUCACUUAAUUUUUUAAGGGAAGAUUUUGGAGCUAGUCGAUUUGCCAGCUCUCCCAAGAAACCAUGUUGCUCAGAAUCCUGUGAAGGAAUUACAGGGUAUCUACUGCUGGCACCCAGGAACCUAGGCUGGAAACAUCCCAGGGGCCACCUGCGAGAGCAAGGACUCAUCAUCACCUUUUGCCUGGAACCAUACAGGUAAUAUUUCCAGUGUAGACCCUUUGUUGACCCAUAGGUAUCUCUCAAAGGACGCUAAAGAGGCAGGGUAGACUGUACUUUCUACCUCUAGCUAUAACCUGUCCUCCCGCCUCCCACCUUCUCUCCUGGGUCCACCCCUCACCAGAGGGAGCCGCACAACAGUUCGGACCCAUUGAACAACAGGACUUAUUGGAGAACUUAUCUGAGUGUCAGAGUAGACCCCCAAAUGGAUUCCUGAGGAGGAAGCCUGGGUUUGCUCACAAGUACUCCCACAGCCCCACCUAGAGAGAGCUGGAAUGGCCUUCCGUGCAGGCGGGGGUCCAAUUUUCACAAUAAGAUGUCAACUUUACCACCUGCACUUCUGAUUUCUAAGGCAUAAGGCUCUGCCCUAGACCAGCAGCAGAGAAUACAAACACACCAGGCUCUUGUCAGAGAACACAAUCUCAAACAGUCUGCUAUUCAACUCCUAUCAAAAGCCCAGCUGAGAAAAGCAAUAUUUACAAAAGAUUAUUUGAAGGACAAGCAGUUCAUCCAUUCUUCAAAACAUUCUAAAUUCUAUCCAUGGAUCAAAUCUGACCACCUUGCAGCUACACACUAGGGCCAUAUUACUUUAGCCCCAUGCAGAACUGCUGUCACUGAAUUGUAUUUUAAUGUCGCGUCGUUUGGUCUUAUCAAGAAAGUUACUUACAAGAAGUAGUCAUAGGAAAUCGGUUAUUGCAUUUGAGGAAAACGUUGGUGGGAAGCCCGUUCACCACAUAAAGUCCCACGUGAGGAAGUUAUCUAGGAAAGUAGCUUUAGAGGAAGCUCUGAUUCUUGGAGAAACGAUGGUCUCCUUUCCUAAGUAAUUUCAUAGUGAAUUUGACCUGGGCUGCCAGGAAUCUCAGCGUCAAAUCUAAAGCUCAGUCGUGGCAAUUAUACUGAACCUUAGGUUUUCUGUGUUUGUGCUCUUCUUUUCUUGGUCACUGUUUUCUCUUUCUAAUUUUGAUGUAUUUCUCCACUGAUCUGUCACAGAACUCUUAUGGAGCCAGGUAAUGCUAUAAAUAAGUCAAGAAUGCGUUGGAUACCUGUUCAUUUAAAUCCCGUGCCUACGGAGUUGUCCCUACUUGAGUGACAAUCCUAUCCUUGGUAGUGCUGGUUGUAGGCGUGGAAACGAUAAUGCUAAUAAUCAUGAUAAUACUUAUAACAAAGCUGUCACUUAUUUUGUGUUUCUAUGUAUCUAAGCACUGUAAUAGGAAUGUGUCACAUGUUGUUUUACAGAACCCAUAAGCUAGGUACUAUUAGCCUAAUCUUACAGGAGAGGAAACUGAGGCUCUGAAAAGGUAGGCAAUUGGUCUGUUACAUACCUAGUAGAAACAGAACCGUACCCAGAAUCCUAUCGGACUCCAAGUUGCGGCAAGAUAUCCCCACUCUAACUGCAAUGGGCCAUUUCAAGGGAGGAUGACAAAGCCCAAAUAACAAAUGCCACAGAUCUAAGGUUGGAACUUUGAUUUCCCCAACUCCCCUUGUAUCACGGUAAAGCAUUGCAUAAAAGUCUGCCUGUUGGUGCCGACAACUGUACUUUUCAUGUCCCAGUCAAAGCCCAUUUGAAAAGUGAUCGAGUAUUAGGUAAAGGUGAAAGUGUAUUUUGUAGGUAGGACCAAAUCAAGAGUUCUGAUAAUCUAUCUUGACAGAAGCUAAAAAACGGAACAAAGAACCAUCCACCUCUUCACAACACUGGUAAGAGCUUGCUUUUGAGAGAUUUCCCAGAGCCCUGCAGGCACCCCCCAAGCUGCAAAUGACUUGGCCCCCUUGGGAAACUCUGAUCUGACCUGCAGGGAUGUUUGGUCUCGUGUGGCGCCCCGAGUGCCCACCACCACCACCACCACGAGGAGACAGUCACAAGGACGUGACAUAUUUACAUCACACGGCAAGCUACGAUAACCCCUGCCUUACAUUUUUUUUUCCUCUUAGGGAGCCACACAUUACCGUCCUCUGCCAUGGAUCUCCAUUAGUUCGAGAACCAAGGGUGAAGGUUAGGGACAUCUGUUCAUUCAUCCAUUCACUGACCAAAUACCCAGCACCUUCUAGGCUUGGAAAGACAGAAGAGCUAGCGGACCACAUGGAUUCUGUCCUUCAGAGCUUCCUAACAGACUGGGGAGAAGAAACCGCCCUGGGAGACGAAACCAAAUGCAAAGCCACCCGCAUAAAAAGCGAAAGGUAGCACCAAAGGAUGGUCUCUCUAAGUGUAGAGGAAGCACAGGAAUGAUCACAGUGAAACAGGUUCAAAGAGCAGUGUUCGCUGGGACAGGGGAUUGUUGGCGUCCCUGAUGUGUUUAGACAGUAAAUCUGAGCUAUGAAGUCCUUCUCAGUUUAACAUCCAUGCAGCAUGCUCCGAAUGCUGACGGGGCCCCGACCUCGUACCGGGUACCACCCCGGUGUCAGGAAAAGACCAGUGGGCAGACGGACAAGCUCUCUGCCCUGGUGGGGCUCACACACACAUUUUGAAAAACUCGAAAUAAUCCCAGAAAGUGGUAGGUACUGUGAAAGAAAUAAAAGAGGGAAGGCAUCGUGGGCCGGAAGGGGGAUCCCUUAGCAGAGUCAAUACGUGCUGACUGAAUGAUCUCAGAAGCUAUCGUUAUGGCCGAGAAACCUACACAGGGAGCUGAGUGAAAGGAAGGAGGCAGCUCUGGGCUGCCAGAGCCUAGAAGAGCCUAGGGAAGAGCCCUCCUGCCAGAGGAAACAGCGAGAGCCAGGGCCCAGGACAGGCUCAUACUCGCAUAGUUGAGCGCUACAAGGGAGGCCAGAGAGGCUGGAGCACGGUGACCUAGGGAAAUGGGGGCAGGGUGGCCGAUCACAUAAGGCCUUUUAGGCCACUGACAGGCUUGAAUUUUAUUCCAAAUGAAACAAGUAGUCACUGAUGGACUUUAAGUGCCCAUGUGUGGGUAUGCGUGUGCGCACGUGUGUAUAUGCAUGUGUGUGUGUGAGAAAGAGAAAGAGAUUGGAUAGUACUUAUGUUUUCAAGGUAUUACCUGGAAUGAAGCAAAGAUGGCUCAGACACGACAUCAAAAGUAUACACCAUAAAAGAAAGAAAAUGAUCAACUGCACUUCAUCAAAUUUGGUAACUUUUGUGUUUCAAAGACACCAUGAAGCAAAUAAAAGACAAAUUAUACACUGGGAGAAAAUAUCUUAUAAAGGAUUUGUAUCCAUAAUGUACAAAGAACGAAUUGAACUGUGCACUUAAAAUGGGUCAACUUUAUGAUCUGUAAACUC